ensembl:lncRNA
AUAAAACGCAGCAGCAAAGACAAAUAGUUUCCAGGCAUUGUGUUGGCAUUUUGGCCUAAUGACUGAUUAAUCUGAACCGGAGUCUCAUUACAGAUUCACGGAUCGAUGGGAUCGGAUCGUUAGCUCCGGCACCCCCUCCUGCAAUCAGCAGUGCAGGCGGCAGCGCUGCCGGGGGAUGGAUUAAAGGCUCAGCUGGAGCAGGGAGCCGGCAGCAGGAGGGAAAGCAGGGAGAGCAGGACGCAUCUUUCAGCCAUGAGGGACACGGAAAGCAUCUUUCAGCCGUGAGGGACACCCAACAGGGACAGCCCCGGGGGAUGGCACCUGUAUCCCAGCCACGGUGAGCGAAAAACCCCAACGGAGGUAUAGGCGGAAACACCACCCAUCACCCUGCAGACCCCCAGGAGGAGACCCCGAUGGCGCUAAGAAUUUUUCUGAACCGACUCGUAUUCAUAAAUACUGCCCUCCAAUCCCUCUCGCAAGACAGAACCAACCCUAAUUAGAAUGGUGAGCCCUCACCAUCUUUUCCUCAUCAUGCAGUUCCCAUAAAACUGCUCCAGAAGAGGAAGGCUUUGGCCAACCCCUCCCCCGGCAAGCAACGGGGAGUGUUCCCAAACGUCUGUCACAAUCAGAAUAAAGAG